rnacentral:rRNA from 1 species
GUUAGGAAUCUUCCGCAAUGGGCGCAAGCCUGACGGAGCGACGCCGCUUGGAGGAAGAAGCCCUUCGGGGUGUAAACUCCUGAACCCGGGACGAAACCCCCGACGAGGGGACUGACGGUACCGGGGUAAUAGCGCCGGCCAACUCCGUGCCAGCAGCCGCGGUAAUACGGAGGGCGCGAGCGUUACCCGGAUUCACUGGGCGUAAAGGGCGUGUAGGCGGCCUGGGGCGUCCCAUGUGAAAGACCACGGCUCAACCGUGGGGGAGCGUGGGAUACGCUCAGGCUAGACGGUGGGAGAGGGUGGUGGAAUUCCCGGAGUAGCGGUGAAAUGCGCAGAUACCGGGAGGAACGCCGAUGGCGAAGGCAGCCACCUGGUCCACCCGUGACGCUGAGGCGCGAAAGCGUGGGGAGCAAACCGGAUUAGAAACCCUUGUAGUCC